CUGAUAUUAGCCCUUGGAUCUCGUUGGAGUUGACAGAAAUCAACGAAGCCCCUGUGCGAUUUCAUCGUUGUGAGCUGUGAGAGAGAAUACGAUGGUCACAUCACGAUUUUAUCACCUAAAGGUCAUGGGAUCUGGGGAGGAAGAGAAAGAGAGUGAUGAAGAGCAUGGGAUCUGGGGAGGAAGAGAAUGGUAAAGUGACGAUCGCACCCUGCCUUUCCACGAUCAUCGACACGCGGGCAUUAUGAUCAACGGCAGAGAGAGUCAGUGACAGCCUCGUAAAUAAAAUGAAAUUACU
rnacentral:lncRNA from 1 species